CCUACGGGUGGCAGCAGUGAGGAAUAUUGGUCAAUGGGCGUAAGCCUGAACCAGCCAAGUCGCGUGAGGGAUGAAGGUUCUAUGGAUCGUAAACCUCUUUUAUAAGGGAAUAAAGUGCGGGACGGGUCCGGUUUUCGAUUUACCUUAUGUAUAAGGAACGGCUAACUCCGUGCCAGCAGCCCCGGUAAUACGGGGGAUCCGUGCGUUAUCCGGAUUUAUUGGGUUUGAAGGGUGCGUAUGCGGCCUUUUAAGUCAGCGGUGAAAGUCUGGGGCUUAAACAUUGAAUUGCCGUUGAUACUGGGAGGCUUGAGUAUGUUUGAGGCAGGCGGAAUGCGUGGUGUAGCGGUGAAAUGCUUAGAUAUCACGCAGAACCCCGAUGGCGAAGGCAGCCUGCCAAGCCAUGACUGACGCUGAUGCACGAAAGCGUGGGGAUCAAACAGGAUUAGAUACCCGUGUAGUC
rnacentral:rRNA from 1 species